GGAGCGCCUCUGACUGACUUCCCCCAUGUGUCCGUGUGGCCACACCGUGCUACUUUCAGAGGCAGUGGGCUUUUCGCUAAGGGAUAAAAAGAAGUAAAACCUUGCCUUUAGCGCAGCUCUCCUUCACUGGGCAGAUUGCUCUCCCUCCCCACUCUCCCAGGCCCAAAUUGGAUCUCAGCGCCUGGGAGCUCCAACUUUAGCAAGUGCGAAAUCCUGUCUUCGGUUUUGGAAUUUUCAUCCGCACAGACUAUAUCAGCCACGGAUAGGAUAUGUGAGAAUACCAGCAUGUCAAGGCUGGGAAUCAUCCUUAGGCAUCACCUAGCCAGUCCUGCCUCUCAUUUUAAGUGGGUAACCAGGAUGGAACUGCGGUGUUGCUUGCAGGAGAAGCUUACUACUGGUUUCUACUUCUCCAACCUCAUUGGUGGCUAUGCAGAGAAUAGACGCCUUGAUGGCUCCUCUGGCAGUUCUUGAUGACCAUGGAUGAGCUAAUGGCUGUGGUCUCAAUGGUGGCUUCUUGAGAUGGUAUUGCCUCUGAAUUUGCUGAUUCAGAAGAUGUCGGACUCAUGUUAUCCUAUAGAAGAUGUAACAACCCAUAUACAUUUAUGAAAAUCAGGAACUACAUUAUUAUAAUGAUGAAGGAAAAGCCCAAGAAAUCAACCAACCUGA
rnacentral:lncRNA from 1 species